CACACGACCGUACCGCAAACCGACACUGGUGCGCGAGAUGAGUAUUCUAAGGCGCUUGAGAGAACUCAGGAGAAGGAACUCGGCAAAUUGACACCGUAACUUCGGAAGAAGGUGUGCCUUUAGUAGGUGAACCAUUUACUUGGGGAGCCCAAUGAGGUUGCAAAAAAUCGGUGGCUGCGACUGUUUAUUAAAAACACAGCACUCUGCAAACACGAAAGUGGACGUAUAGGGUGUGACGCCUGCCCGGUGCUGGAAGAUUAAAUGAUGGGGUGUAAGCUCUUGAUUGAAGUCCCAGAAAACGGCGGCCGUAACAAUAACGGUCCUAAGGUAGCGAAAUUCCUUGUCGGGUAAGUUCCGACCUGCACGAAUGGCGUAACGAUGGCCACACUGUCUCCUCCUGAGACUCAGCGAAGUUGAAAUGUUUGUGAUGAUGCAAUCUCCCCGCGGAAAGACGGAAAGACCCCAUGAACCUUUACUGUAGCUUUGUAUUGGACUUUGAACAGAUCUGUGUAGGAUAGGUGGGAGGCUUUGAAGUAGGGUCGCUAGAUUCUAUGGAGCCAACGUUGAAAUACCACCCUGGUGUGUUUGAGGUUCUAACCUAGGUCCAUUAUCUGGAUCGGGGACAGUGCAUGGUAGGCAGUUUGACUGGGGCGGUCUCCUUUUAAAGUGUAAUGGAGGAGUUCGAAGGUACGCUAGUUACGGUUGGAUAUCGUGACGAUAGUGCAAUGGCAUAAGCGUGCUUAACUGCGAGACUGAUAAGUCGAGCAGAUGUGAAAGCAGGACAUAGUGAUCCGGUGGUUCUGUAUGGAAGGGCCAUCGCUCAACGGAUAAAAGGUACUCUGGGGAUAACAGGCUGAUACCGCCCAAGAGUUUAUAUCGACGGCGGUGUUUGGCACCUCGAUGUCGGCUCAUCUCAUCCUGGGGCUGUAGCCGGUCCCAAGGGUAUGGCUGUUCGCCAUUUAAAGAGGUACGUGAGCUGGGUUUAAAACGUCGUGAGACAGUUUGGUCCCUAUCUUCCGUGGGCGCUGCAGAUUUGAGGAAGCCUGCUCCUAGUACGAGAGGACCGGAGUGGACACACCUCUGGUGUAUCGGUUGUCACGUUAGUGGCAUUGCCGAGUAGCUAAGUGUGGAAGAGAUAACCGCUGAAAGUAUCUAAGCGGGAAACUCGUUUCAAGAUGAGAUCUGCCGGGGCCUUGAGCCCCCUAAAGAGUCGUUCAAGACCAGGACGUUGAUAGGUCGGGUGUGGAAGCGCAGUAAUGCGUUAAGCUAACCGAUACUAAUUGCUCGUGCGGCUUGACCA
rnacentral:rRNA from 1 species